rnacentral:rRNA from 1 species
UCGAGAAUAAUUCACAAUGGGGGCAACCCUGAUGGUGCAACGCCGCGUGGAGGAUGACGGUCUUCGGAUUGUAAACUCCUGUCAUCUGGGAGUAAGGCAUGGUUGUGAAUAGCAGACAUGAUUGAUAGUACCAGAAGAGGAAGGGACGGCUAACUUCGUG